CCACCACCACCACCACCACCACCACCAUGACCACCAUCGAAGUAGCAGUAGCAGUAGCAAUAGCACUAAUAACAAUAGCAGCAACAAAUCGGCGAUUGAUUGCUCAGAAUUCAAGUCCUUUGUGGAGAGGGUCGACUUGAACAAGCUACCAGAAGCGGAAGAUUCAGAUGUUGAGUGGGAAAGGAAUUAGAGGAACAAAACAAAGUCUCUUCCUUUUUUU
rnacentral:misc_RNA from 1 species